GCGCGCCGCACCUGCCCCGUUCGCGGGGCCGGGGAAGCCGUUCGAGCAGCGUCGUGUCGCGGUCCGGGACUGUCCUCAGUCCCGGGUCGUCUCGGCGCGGUUCCGAGCGGUCGCUCCCUCGCGAGGUGCCGCGGGUCAGCGGCUGACGCCAGCCACCUUCCCGACCCGUCUUGAAACACGGACCAAGGAGUCUAACAUGUGCGCGAGCCGCGGGGCAGUACGAAACCCGUAAGGCGAAAUGAAGGUGAACGCCGGCGCGGUCCGGCGGAGGUUGGAUCCCGUCCCGUCGGGGCGGGCGCACUACCGGCCGAUCUUCUCCGCCCUGUCGGCGAGGUCGAGCGAGAGCGUGCAAGUCGGGACCCGAAAGAUGGUGAACUAUGCCUGAGGAGGUUGAAGCCAGAGGAAACUCUGGUGGAGGACCGUAGCGAUUCUGACGUGCAAAUCGAUCGUCAAAUUUGGGUAUAGGGGCGAAAGACUAAUCGAACCGUCUAGUAGCUGGUUCCCUUCGAAGUUUCCCUCAGGAUAGCUGGCGCUCUGUCGCAGUUUUAUCUGGUAAAGCGAAUGAUUAGAGGUCUUUGGGGGCGGAAACGCCCUCAACCUAUUCUCAAACUUUAAAUUGGUAAGAAGCCCGACUCGCUCGUUUGGAGCCGGGCAUGGAAUGCGAGUGCCAAGUGGGCCACUCUUGGUAAGCAGGACUGGCGAUGCGGUAUGAACCGAACGCCGGGUUAAGGCGCCCGACGCGACGCUCAUCAGAGCCCACAAAAGGUGUUGGUUGAUAUAGACAGCAGGACGGUGGCCAUGGAAGUCGGAAACCGCUAAGGAGUGUGUAUCAACUCACCUGCCGAAUCAAUCAGCCCUGAAAAUGGAUGGCGCUGGAGCGUCGGGCCUAUACCCGGCCGUCGCGGCGGUACGAGCAUCGAGUUGGUGCGCUAGGCCGCGACGAGUAGGAGGGCCGCGGCGGCGGGCGUAGAAGCCUAGGGCGCGAGCCCGGGUGGAGCAGCCGUCGGUGCAGAUCUUGGUGGUAGUAGCAAAUAUUCAAAUGAGAACUUGAAGGCCGGAGUGGAGAAGGGUUCCAUGUGAACAGCAUUGAACAUGGGUCAGU
rnacentral:ncRNA from 1 species